rnacentral:pre_miRNA from 1 species
AGAUCGGUACAGUGGCUUUGGCCUGGAAUGGUAAUUUCCAAAGCUUCUCGUACCCAUCCUU